rnacentral:lncRNA from 1 species
UCUGGAUGGCAUUCAGUAGACGGAUGCAUCCCAUCGUUGCAUCAUUACUUUCCUCGGCCUUGUCCUCCUUGAAGGCCAUGGCCUUAAGGGCCUUCUUUUGUGGGCAAUCUCGCAUCAUGUGAGGGCCGUCGCAUAGGUAACAGUUGGGUUGCCAAGACUUACCCUUGCCUUUGUCAUGCUUAUCGGCUUUCUUCUCCUUCGGUUUGCUUGUCUCGGCCUUAUCCUUCGGUUUAUGUUCUCCCCCACUUCUCUCAUGGUUACCCCUCUUCCCCGUGG